CAAAAGAACAACUUUGUAGAUAUGGCUAUAUUAAUGUUUUUCAUUUCACUGGCUUUGCAGCUUUGUAAUUCAGAUAUAAGUCUGUCUCCAUUUCCUACUUGUAGAAGAGCCGUAAACCCAAGGAGUUUAAUGUGCACAAAGCCCAGUAUAAGUAAUUAGAUAACAGAAACUUUUGUAACAGAAUUUUUUUUCUUUAGAAGUCAGGCAAAUCUGUGAGGCUUUGGCCUUCAAGGAGGGAUGGUGCUGCUGCUGGGACCUCGUGCAAUCUGUCAGUUUCAGGGCCUGAGUGGGGACAGUGUGUCUCCAUAUACAGCUGAGGUGGUAGGCUGCCAACAGUUAUCUCCAGGACAGCCUAUUACAAAUGUUACCGCUAAAGACAUUUUGGUUCGCCCUCCCGCUGUUCUAUGCAAUAGGGAGACUCGAUAACUUUGCCUCUCUGAUUUGCAAAUCCAGAUUUUGUUUGGAGAUCAUGUUAGAAUGGAAGAAAAAAGAUGGCUGCUGAUCUCAUUAACUGCAGAUGGGACAGGGCAGUUUUUUCCAGAUGAACUGUACUCAGAAGAUUCAUACUUUUCAGGAAAUCAUGCACCCAUUGAAAAAGAAGACUAAAAUCAUGAAAGCAGGCAAGAAAUUUCAGCUUUGACGAUUAAAAAACGAAUUCUGUGUAAAACCAAAAGUGAUAAAGAAGAGAAACAGAGAAGGAAAAGUCAUGCAGUAUCUUAAUCAAGACUGGGCAACACUGGAGUAGUAAAUCUGUUUAGCAGUUCAAGGUCCCAAGGUUUUUGUAUUUCCUUUGAAGAACUUGAGUUGACACAGUGUGUGGCUUUGACAUCAUGGACCAAAAUACUCCUUUACCUUGGGAUGGCAGGUGCAGCAAAUCUGCAUGACUCCUCAAAAAACUUCCCUGAAUCUGGAAAUCAUCAGCUUAAACUACAAAGUUUGGCCUUGGCCUUCAAAGUGAAAACCUUGAAAGAAAGGACUGUAUGAAGAAUCAAGCCUGCACAGUUGGUGGUCUUCACCUAUUUUCACAAAAUAGAACCAUUGUGAAGAGCAACCUGGCGAUACUGAGAGGAAUUAAUCCUAAGCUCACUUCAGGAGCCAACAGGUACUCUUUUUGAGGUCCUUAUGGGGUCAGAGACGAAGAUGUUCAUAAGCAGCAUUGUUGCAGGGUAGGGUGGGGGGUUGGAGCAGCCUGGGUGUCCACCACUAGACAAAGUGAUAAAAUAGUGUGGAUAAAUACUGUAAAAUUCAUUAGAAAUCUUGAGUCUUAUGUACAUACCAAUAUAUACAUCUUUUUAAAAAUAUAUAAGAUCCAAAGCAUAAUUCCUUUCACAUAAAUUAGAAACACCAUCACUCACAAAAGGACAUACUUUAGAAGAAAAACAUCAGUGAACUAUAGGACUAUUAGUGGGUGGGAACCCUUUCCAGGGAAGGGAACGUAGGAACGAGGGCCAGAUAAAAGGGAAAAUACAAGAGGUUUUGUAGACUUGAUAGAGUAGCAAGGACUAAAGGAUAUUACCAACGGUGUUUAUUUUUUAAAUAAAGUUUAUUUUGAGAGCGCACAUGUGCACCAGCACGAGCACAAGGAGGGGAGGGGCAGAGAGGGAAAGACAGAAUCCCAAGCAGGCUCCUCACUGUCAAUGCAGAGCCCAAUGCAGGGCUUUAACUCACAAACCACAAGAUGACCACCUGAACUGAGAUCAAGAGGCAGACACUUAGUGUAGGACUUUGGCUUAUGUCGUGAUCCUUGUGGUUCCUGAGUUUGAGCCCCACAUUGGGCUCGCUGCUCUCACCAGAGCCUGCUUUGGAUUCUCUGUCCCCCUCUCUGCCCCUCCCCUGCUUUUGCUCUCAAAAAAAUUUAAGUAAUCUCUACACCCAACUUGGGGCUCAAACUUACAAUUCAGAGAUCGAGUUGCAUGCUCUACUAACUGAGCCAGCCAGGGGCCCCCUACUGUCUACUCUUGUCUAAAAAUUCUUAUCCCUCCACACACCAGUGGAAAAAGCAACUUAAAUACUAUUCCCAAGUGAAUCCCACAACAAAGGGGGUUUUGACCUUGUAGGUGUAGGUCAAAGUAAGCAUCCAAGUUGGAGAGGAUUACCUACAGGCUUGUCUCUCAAUCUGGUCAUUAAACGUAUAUCAGCAUCAGCAGAAUUGCUCCUUGACCUAUAAUUCUCCACCCUCACAUGUCUACAGAAACAGGUUAUUAGUCUAAAAGAAAGCAGUGCAUGGGUGUCAAACGGGGUUCACAAACACUAUAUAAAGUUUCCUGGGGCUGCCAUAACAAACUAUAACAAAGUAGGUGGCUUAAAACAAAACACACAAUUCUAGAAACCAGAAGUCUGAAACUAGAGUAUUGACAGGAUCAUGCUCCCUCCAAAGGAUCUAGGGAAGAAUACUUCCUUGUGACUUAACCCUAGUUAUGCAAGAUGUUUUACCACUGGGGGGAGAAGGGUGAAAGGUACAUGGGACAGUACUAUUUUCUCAACAUCCUGUAUCAUUUCACAAGCAGAGCAAAAAAGUACUUUUAGUUUUACAAAAGUAAAGAAAAACUAGGAGGGGCGCAUAGAUAGCUCAGUCGGUUAAGCAUCAGACUUCGGCUCAGGUCAUGAUCUCGCAGUUGAGUUUAAACCCUGCAUCAGGCUCUCUGCUGUCGACACAGACCUGCUUCAGAUCCUGUAACCCUCCCUCUCUUCCCCUCCCCCACUCAUGUUCUUUCAAAAAUAAGUGAACAUUAAAAAAAGAAAACUGGGAUUAAAAACCCUGUUAGCCAGUAAUAGCAAUACAAUGCAGCAAAGUAUGAUAAUGGAGUACCUAUGAUUAAUAUCUUCAGUUUUCCCACCCACAUGCUCACAACAUAACUGGAAAUGGAUUCCUGUGGUGCUCAUUCUAAAAACGGGUGGGGUGAGUGCCUUGGCUGGCUCAGUCGGUGGAGCAUGUGACUCCUGAUCUUGGGGUUGUAACUUUGAGCCCCACACUGAGUGUAGAGAUUACUUACAAUAAAAUCUUAAAUAAAUAAAAAUAAAAAAUGGAGGGCAACCAGCCUUACUUUAUAUCUAUUGGCCACAAAGAAGGAUUUCCCAUCUACUAAGGUGUAUCAUGUUGGGCACAAAUAUCACCUUGCAGAAUCUUACAAGACACCCACGAGGAAAGAAUGAACCCAGGUACAGAUGAAAGAACUGAACUCAAGAAGCAUUAGUAACUUGCCUGGGGUCACACAGUAAAAUUAGAACUCCAAGCCAGGUGUACUGAGGCCAGGGCAUUUGAAAUAGCAAUCAAUUUGCAGAAAGGCCCAUGAAGGCCAGAGUCAGAAGGACUGAACUGAGAAAAGAAGUGUAUUUCAAAAGCUGGGUUUUUUUUUUUUUUUUUGGUAAACUGAAUAUACUAAAUAAGCCCUUGACACAAAAGCCAUAAAAUGAUUACAUCAUUCUCUUAGUUUCUUCAGUUAUCAAUACAUUACAAAUCAUUUUUUUAAUUCUAGACUAACAAUUGACAAUAC